UACGAAGGGGGCGAGCGUUGUUCGGAUUUACUGGGCGUAAAGGGCGCGCAGGCGGCUCUGCAAGUCAGAUGUGAAAGCCCCGGGCUUAACCUGGGAACUGCAUUUGGGACUGCGGAGCUAGAGAUCGGGAGAGGAGAGUGGAAUUCCCAGUGUAGAGGUGAAAUUCGUAGAUAUUAGGAAGAAUACCAGAGGCGAAGGCGCUUUCUGGCUCACUACUGACGCUGAGGCGCGAAAGCGUGGGGAGCAAACAGG
rnacentral:rRNA from 1 species